GAGUGCAUUACAUUAUUGGAAGAUAGCUUAUUUAAAAUGGUUAGAGAAGGGACCAACAAGGUGUGUUUCUCAGUUCCUCCCACGUAAGAAGAUUUUAGGGCUGACUUCAAGGCCAGAGGAGGUAGUUUGGGUGGCCAUUUACUCCAUUCUCUGUGUCUAGGGACAGUAGAAGGAGGCUAGAAAAUAACUAAAGCUGUUACUGGGAGAGAGAAAAAGAUGUUGUGGGGGAAAAGACAAUACCUGGGAGAGGGAAAGCAUAGGGACCUACCAGACCAUUGUCCCUUUAAGGACCUUGGUCCUUGUGGAAUAUUGGGGGUAAGUUUCCCCUCUCUCUAGGCCCAGGGAGCAGCUGUAAUAAGGUCCUCUUCUACCCCUGUCCAGGCCUGUGGUGAGUGCAUUUCAUUGCAUUCUUCACUUCCUCUUCCAAAGCCUUGUGGUGCAGGAAUGGAAAGGGGAGGAGAAGAGAAUGGACUCCUCCUGAGCCAUUUUUCACAGCUGGGGAGGAGGGAGCAGUGCCACCCUGAACUGCUGGACACUUUCCUCCUCACCCACUCCUCUUGUGAGAAUGGUGUUGGCCUCUUCCCCCCGCCCCCCCCCCCCUUACCUACCUCCUCAGGAGCAGAGAGGAGUUUGUGGAAUGAGAGCUGUGCUUGAGUCAUAGCCCGGAGGCAGAAAAGUGGGGAAGGCAGCCAGUCUUGGGGGGAUUUCCCCCAUACCAGGAUGGAAAUCAUGUGAGGGUGGGAGUUUCAUGGCUGGAGACUGACUUGAGCAAGGGGCCAAAAUCGCAUUACAUAUGUUUCAAGAGUUAGCAACACUGUGUCAGGCAGGGUAGACCACGUAUAGUCAGAGGAGACCUGCCCCCUGCAAAAAAACAAAAGGGACCCACCUCUACCUGACCAAUCCAUGUUACAGGUGUGACUGCUACUGAGAUCACCCAGUAACAUCACUAGAAGGCACACCUCUUUUUUACCUCACUCCGGAGGAUGAAUCCUGGAUACCUGCACCCUUUCCCCGUACCAGUGCAGGAGCUGAUAGAGUUCACCCUGUAGGAAUUACUAAAUUAGUAGGUAGAGACUGGGAGAGGAGAAGGACAAGGGGACCCAAAGGGAGGUCUGGACUGGAAAAGGAGGAAGUAAAAAAAAGUCAGGAAGGGACAAACAGCACCAAAAAAUAAGCACAAACAAAAGGAGAUCAAAUAAAAACGUGCAUCUUUGAGGAUAACUGCUUCUUUGAGCUUGCCUCUGCAUGGACAUAUAUUUAGACAGCUGGCAGAUAUUGAAAAGUAGUUGUGAAAUUAUGCUAAACUGAAUCUUGUAGCUAUGCAGGAUACAUAGU